rnacentral:rRNA from 1 species
AUUGAUCGCUAGCGGGAUGCUUAACACAUGCACGUCGGACGAGUGGCGGACGGGUGAGUAAUAUAACUGAACGUGCCCAGUAGCCGGGGAUAACUACUCGAACGAGUGGUUACUACCGCAUACUAUUGGAGCGGCCGAUAUCGGAUUGGCUAUUUGGUGGGGUAAAGGCUCACCAGGGCAACGUCCCGUAGCUGGUUUGAGAGGACGACCAGGCACACGGGGACUGAGACACGGCCCAGACUUCUACGGGAGGCAGCAGUGGGUGAUUUUGGACAAUUGGGGAAGCCCUGAUCCAGCCAUCCCGCGUGUAUGGGGAGGCCUUCGGGUUGUAAAGUACUUUUGGCAGAGAAGCGGUCUCUGCUGAAUAAGCGCCGGCUAACUACGGGCCAGCCGCCGCGGUAAUAC